UACGUAUGGUGCAAGCGUUAUCCGGAUUUACUGGGUGUAAAGGGAGCGCAGGCGGCACGGCAAGCCUGAUGUGAAAGCCCGCGGCCCAACCGCGGGACUGCAUUGGGAACUACCGGGCUGGAGUGCCGGAGAGGUAGGCGGGAUUCCUAGUGUAGCGGUGAAAUGCGUAGAUAUUAGGAGGAACACCAGUGGCGAAGGCGGCCUACUGGACGGUGACUGACACUGAGGCUCGAAAGCGUGGGGAGCAAACAGG
rnacentral:rRNA from 1 species